ensembl:snRNA U4 U4 spliceosomal RNA
AGCUUUGUGCAGUGGCAAUAUUGCAGCCAAUAAGGUUUAUCCGAGGUGCAAUUAUUGCUAAUCAAAGGGCCAAAUUAGCCAAGAUUAUUGCUAGUCUUCACCAAACAAGUUAUUCCAAGCUCCCAAAGU